rnacentral:tRNA from 1 species
GUCUUGUUAGUGUAGUGGUUAUCACGUCUGCCUCACACGCAGAAGGUCCCCGGUUCGAUCCCGGGACAAGACA